AGAGUUUGAUCCUGGCUCAGAUUGAACGCUGGCGGCACGCUUAACACAUGCAAGUCGAACGGCAGCGGAGGAAAGCUUGCUUUCCUGCCGGCGAGUGGCGAACGGGUGAGUAACGCGUAGGAAUCUACCCAAAUGUUGGGGACAACCCGAGGAAACUCGGGCUAAUACCGAAUAAGCCUUAAGAGGUAAAGAGGGCCUCUGUUUCAAGCUCUCGCUUUUGGAUGAGCCUGCGUCAGAUUAGCUUGCUGGUGGGGUAAUGGCCUACCAAGGCGACGAUCUGUAGCUGGUCUGAGAGGACGAUCAGCCACACUGGAACUGAGACACGGUCCAGACUCCUACGGGAGGCAGCAGUGGGGAAUAUUGGACAAUGGGGGAAACCCUGAUCCAGCGAUGCCGCGUGUGUGAAGAAGGCCUGCGGGUUGUAAAGCACUUUAGUUGGGGAAGAAAAAGUUAUUGUUAAUAGCAAUAACCAUUGACGUUACCCUAAGAAUAAGCACCGGCUAACUCUGUGCCAGCAGCCGCGGUAAUACAGAGGGUGCAAGCGUUAAUCGGAAUUACUGGGCGUAAAGGGCGCGUAGGCGGCUAAGUAAGUUGGAUGUGAAAUCCCUGGGCUUAACCCAGGAACUGCAUUCAAUACUGCUUAGCUAGAGUAGAGUAGAGGGAAGUGGAAUUUCCGGUGUAGCGGUGAAAUGCGUAGAUAUCGGAAGGAACAUCAGUGGCGAAGGCGGCUUCCUGGACUCAUACUGACGCUGAGGCGCGAAAGCGUGGGGAGCGAACAGGAUUAGAUACCCUGGUAGUCCACGCCGUAAACGAUGAGAACUAGAGGUUGGGGUUUAGAUACCCUUGUCUCGAAGCUAACGCGAUAAGUUCUCCGCCUGGGGAGUACGGCCGCAAGGCUAAAACUCAAAGGAAUUGACGGGGGCCCGCACAAGCGGUGGAACAUGUGGUUUAAUUCGAUGCAACGCGAAGAACCUUACCUACCCUUGACAUCCCUGGAAUCUUAUAGAGAUAUGAGAGUGCCUUCGGGAACCAGGUGACAGGUGCUGCAUGGCUGUCGUCAGCUCGUGUCGUGAGAUGUUGUGGUUAAGUCCCAUAACGAGCGCAACCCUUACCCUUAGUUGCCAGCGAUUUGGUCGGGAACUCUAAGGAGACUGCCGGUGAUAAACCGGAGGAAGGUGGGUACGAUGUCAAGUCAUCAUGGUCCUUAUGGGUAGGGCUACACACGUGUUACAAUGGGCAGUACAGAGGGUUGCCAAACUGUGAAGUGGAGCUAAUCUCAGAAAGCUGCUCGUAGUCCGGAUUGGAGUCUGCAACUCGACUCCAUGAAGCUGGAAUCGCUAGUAAUCGCGAAUCAGAAUGUCGCGGUGAAUACGUUCUCGGGCCUUGUACACACCGCCCGUCACACCAUGGGAGUAGAUUGCACCAGAAGUAGGUUGCUUAACCUUCGGGAGAGCGCUUACCACGGUGUGGUUUAUGACUGGGGUGAAGUCGUAACAAGGUA
rnacentral:rRNA from 1 species